AUUGAACGCUGGCGGCAUGCCUUACACAUGCAAGUCGGACGGCAGCGCGGGGGCAACCCUGGCGGCGAGUGGCGAACGGGUGAGUAAUACAUCGGAACGUGUCCUGGAGUGGGGGAUAGCCCGGCGAAAGCCGGAUUAAUACCGCAUACGCUCUGUGGAGGAAAGCGGGGGAUCUUCGGACCUCGCGCUCAAGGAGCGGCCGAUGGCGGAUUAGCUAGUUGGUGGGGUAAAGGCCCACCAAGGCGACGAUCCGUAGCUGGUCUGAGAGGACGACCAGCCACACUGGGACUGAGACACGGCCCAGACUCCUACGGGAGGCAGCAGUGGGGAAUUUUGGACAAUGGGGGCAACCCUGAUCCAGCAAUGCCGCGUGUGUGAAGAAGGCCUUCGGGUUGUAAAGCACUUUUGUCCGGAAAGAAAACUUCGUCCCUAAUAUGGAUGGAGGAUGACGGUACCGGAAGAAUAAGCACCGGCUAACUACGUGCCAGCCGCC
rnacentral:rRNA from 1 species